rnacentral:miRNA from 1 species
UGUUGCUGCUACAAGGUCAUGAUUGAUCAGCGCACACUGUCGAGAUGGAUUUCGUGACUGGAUGGCUCUUCACAA